CUGGCUAGAUGUGGAACCCAAUAGGUCACACACAAAGGGAAUUGAUCAUGGGUUUAAUUUUAUUAAACCAUGUUUGCAAGUUGAACAUGCUAGCACAUGUUGCAAACCCUAGCAUUUAGAUUCGAAUCGAAUUCGAAUCGGGUUUCGAUUUGGGCUAAUUUAGAACCAAUUUGAGCCAAAUUGGAUUUGGUCUUGAAAUGGGUU
rnacentral:lncRNA from 1 species